UACGAAGGGGGCUAGCGUUGCUCGGAAUCACUGGGCGUAAAGCGCACGUAGGCGGAUCUUUAAGUCAGGGGUGAAAUCCUGGAGCUCAACUCCAGAACUGCCCUUGAUACUGGGGAUCUUGAGUCCGGAAGAGGUGAGUGGAACUCCGAGUGUAGAGGUGAAAUUCGUAGAUAUUCGGAAGAACACCAGUGGCGAAGGCGGCCUUCUGGACGGAUACGUGACGCUGAGGCGCGAAAGCCAGGGGAGCAAAGCGGG
rnacentral:rRNA from 1 species